rnacentral:rRNA from 1 species
CACGUAGGGCGCAAGCGUUGUCCGGAAUUAUUGGGCGUAAAGAGCUCGUAGGCGGUCUGUUGCGUCCGCUGUGAAAACCCGGGGCUUAACCCCUGGCUUGCAGUGGAUACGGACAGACUAGAGGUAGGUAGGGGAGAAUGGAAUUCCCGGUGUAGCGGUGAAAUGGCGCAGAUAUCGGGAGGAACACCCGGGUGGCGAAGGCGGUUCUCUGGGCCUU